GACGAACGCUGGCGGCGUGCCUAACACAUGCAAGUCGAGCGGAGAUGAUGUGAGGAAGUUUUCGGAUGGAAUCACAUUAUUUUAGCGGCGGACGGGUGAGUAACGCGUGAGCGACCAACCUUGCACAGGGGGAUAACGGACCGAAAGGUUCACUAAUACCGCACGAGACCACGGUGUUGCAUGACACAGGGGUCAAAGGAGGAAUCCGGUGCAAGACGGGCUCGCGUCCGAUUCGGUAGUUGGAGGGGUAACGGACCAUCAAGCCUAUGAUCGGUAGCCGACCUGAGAGGGUGAUCGGCCACAUUGGAACUGAGAUACGGUCCAAACUCCUACGGGAGGCAGCAGUGGGGAAUAUUGGGCAAUGGGGGAAUCCCUGACCCAGCAACGCCGCGUGAAGGAAGAAGGUUUUCGGAUUGUAAACUUCUGUCCUUGGUGAAGAGAAGAAGACGGUAGCCAAGGAGGAAGCCCCGGCUAACUACGUGCCAGCCGCCGCGGUAA
rnacentral:rRNA from 1 species